AUUCUCAGGCAGUCAUGACAAGGGGAAGGAGCCAGAGUAGUCCAAUCAAAAAAACAUCUGAGUGUCAUGCUGCUGUUCCUGAGUGUCCUCAAAGUUCCCCAUAGUGACUGUAUAUGCAUUUGAAAUUGUCUGGUGGUACUGGCUCAGGGAGCGGGUCAGACUGGAUUGACCUCUGGCAUGAACAGAUAGCCUGUUUCAGAUGGGCACUGCUGAAUUAGCAUGUAUAUGGGAUAGCGAUUUUUGUGCCAGCAUAUGCCAAGCUCUGAUUCUCU